rnacentral:rRNA from 1 species
AUUGAACGCUGGCGGCAGGCCUAACACAUGCAAGUCGAGCGGAUGAAGGGAGCUUGCUCCUGGAUUCAGCGGCGGACGGGUGAGUAAUGCCUAGGAAUCUGCCUGGUAGUGGGGGAUAACGUCCGGAAACGGGCGCUAAUACCGCAUACGUCCUGAGGGAGAAAGUGGGGGAUCUUCGGACCUCACGCUCUCAGAUGAGCCUAGGUCGGAUUAGCUAGUUGGUGGGGUAAAGGCCUACCAAGGCGAGGAUCCGUAACUGGUCUGAGAGGAUGAUCAGUCACACUGGAACUGAGACACGGUCCAGACUCCUACGGGAGGCAGCAGUGGGGAAUAUUGGACAAUGGGCGAAAGCCUGAUCCAGCCAUGCCGCGUGUGUGAAGAAGGUCUUCGGAUUGUAAAGCACUUUAAGUUGGGAGGAAGGGCAGUAAGUUAAUACCUUGCUGUUUUGACGUUACCAACAGAAUAAGCACCGGCUAACUUCGUG